GUCAGAUGGAAAUGUUUACCUUGCCCGAGCAGGAUGCCGAUUCUCUUCUCUAUUUAUGGGAAAACUUUAUGUCCUGCGGUAAUCCUUGCAAAUGUUGAGGAGUUAAUCUUUAUGUGGAAACAUCUUCGUGGUAGUCAAGUUGUACCACAGUUCAUUGUCAAAUCUCAUCUUUCCUGAAACAGGAUCCAUAAAUAUUCUCUUCAGUAGAACACACGGCCAUAUUCCUCCAAGAAUCUUUUCAAUAUCACGAGGAUUCAACAGAAACGUUUGACAUGACCG